rnacentral:lncRNA from 1 species
CCCAAGUGCUGGUAUGGUGUUUGUUAAGCCUGGCCUUUGUGAAGCUCCCUGGGGUCUCCCUAGAAAUGCAAGCACACAGCAGAGUGGAUGAGCGAUGUAACAAGCUGUCCCUCCGUGGGGCACGGAGGUGAAUGCAGUGGUUAUUCUGUCAGCUCUAAUACAGAAAACCCUCUCCAGGAGAAUUCUGCAGUUUUACAAAGUAACACUGGUGCCACUACAAAUGGGACUAGGUACUAUUGGGUCAGUGUGGGAAAGGGUGUUUGCCUAGUUCUCAACUAUGGGUCUAAGGGACACAGGUCAAUGGUGUCUGAGGGCCAAGCUACUACAGGGAGAU